rnacentral:misc_RNA from 1 species
UUGAAUUUUAAUGAAGAGUUUGGUUGUAGCUGGCCCAUUCAUUUGGGCAUGUGCACACCUUCCUCUUUCAUCCCACACACACCUGUGAACCUGUGAGACAGAGAUGGGGAAUUUACUUGCUGCUUUUUGGAGUACAAAGGCAAUAGGUUAUUGGACCCCCCCUCUGUCUACUCAAUUAAUAUAAACUCAAUUUAUUUUAAAACGAAUGUAAUGGAUGUAACACAUCUCAUAC